ACAACACAGGAAGGAGAGCUGCUGAUACUGUACAUAAAAGUCAAAUGAUCUAUUUUAACUCUGGUCUUAUAUUUAUUACUUUCACCCUCCUGGGCUGAACUCUCAGAAGAGCUCAUAGGGGCAGCAGCAAGUUUUUAGGGAGGCGCCAAAGAUUUUGAAUUUUUUUGUAAUGAAUGUAUGCUUUACAUUAUAACUUAUAUGAAACUCGGCAUACAAUUAUACGAUGUUGUUCAUGUAUACAAACUCUCAGAUAUUUGAAAGUUCUGAACUUAAAUUAGAUCUUUAUGGGACCAACAUGGCGCCAUCAGACAUGGGACGUUUUAAACCUGCUUAUGUGUUGUGGGCCAACCUAUUAAUGUACUGUAAUUUGCAUGAGUUAAACGCUUUUUUCCCCCCUUCUUUUCGGAUAGGGCACCAAAACAGACUCUAGCCCAGGGACCCUUAUCUUUGUGAAUCCGGCCCUGUUCACUGCACAAACACACAUAGUUUAUGUUCUCUUCUCAUUGCAUAUAAAGAAGCAAAGAGAGAAGUAGAAAAUAAAAAUGUCCAGAUUUAUAUAAUGAACAGAAGAUAUUAAGAAAACUCUGAAAAAAGUAGGUAGCAUUAAUGAUAAUAAAAAAAAAAGAAGCUCCUGUUUCCUGCAGCUUACAUGUGCAUGAACGUGACAACAGAGUUCAGUAUUUCGUCUGCAGCGUUGUUUUCACUUGCGAGAAGUUCCCCAGCACACUCAAAUCAUAGAUUUUUACAGCCGAAGGGAAAUCUAGACCUCCUGUCCGUCAGCAGUGAUACAAUCAGAGUGUUUCUUGUUCUGUCAGCAGGAAUUAGUGAGAUUGUGGAGCUGCAGCCUCUGUAUUGAUUUACAGCGGCGAUGCUGCUGAUGCGGUCGCAGCGCUCCGCCGGGACCUUCAGUCGGUUGAAGCACUUUGUUAGACAGGAAGUGGCCGGGCUCAGAUAGCUCCAGGUUGAACACUGACUUCAUUCAUGCAUGUAUAAAAUGUACAUCAGUUAGACUGUGUUCGAAAACGGCUGAAUUCAAACUUUCACGUCAUAAUAACAAUUUUAACCAAUAGCCUAUAUUAAAAAAAGAUAUUUUUAUGAAUGUUGCGUACUGCAACUUUAACUGAAAGUAAAAUGGCACGCGUCUAAAUAAAUCUUUUUACAGACAAUAAUUACAAAGUGCGACGUUCAAACUCAAAUUCAACCAUAGAUUCAAAAGGCUGUUGAAGAAUGUUUUUUUUUCUUUUCUUUUCCGUUUUUCUAUUUUCGCAUACGCUCUGAUCGACAAGACGCUGCCGCCGCCAUGUUUCACCAUGGUGGCGCCAUGUGUAGAGUGCAGUGUUCGUUUUUGACCACAUUUAGGCCUGGUCGAAACAUUCAAAAAAAUGUUUAGAAGCAUGCAUCGUUCUACGACUCCUGCACGGCUUUGCGUUGGUCUAUUAAAUAAAAUCCGCCGAUAUCGGCAUUUCUUAUGUGAUAAAAUGUGGAAAAACGUUCGAGGAGCAUGAACACUUUUGCAGGGCCCUGCUUAUAUUCGGAUACAAAACAGAGCGUCCACGUCUGUACGUUAUUACAUCUCAACGAGGAUUAUAAGGAGAACAGGGGCGGCGGGUGAAGGAUGAGAAACGCCCCUGACUCGUCUCGUCUGGCAGCUUGUAAUGUGCAUGCAGAGGCUCUUCACCGACUGACAGCAUAAGCUGCUCCGUCUGAACACAAAAUCCCCCAUCUGCUCGUCAAACACGAGCUUGUCUUAUGAGAUCACUUGGUGGGACGUACAAGAUCACGCCACUCAGCUCCUUCAGACUAGCCAGCAGCAAUUAGCCAAACAUCUGAUGGAACAGCUGAGCUCAUUAUAGGAGCUGCUUCUCAGAGCAGCGCUGGUAAAAACGUUGCUAAAGGGUUAAUAGAGGAGCCAUGUUGUGACGACUUCCUGAAGGCGGAGUUUCAGAAAGAGCAGGAGCUUCUUAAAGAAACAGAAGCCCAAUUUCAAGGUGCUAAAUUACAAAGCCAAAUUUCAUUUAAGCAAUAUUUGAGAUAGCAGUUUUAUAACAAUUGAAGUUAACAUACUUGAUUGUGCUAUAAAGUGGCACCAUGUGCCUGGUAAAACAUACAAUGCCGCUCCUUUAAAGGCAGUUGCAGGGAUGUUACAUUGACAUGUCUGCAGGAGCGAUACAAACGCGUUCUGUUUUUGGUCUCCGACAACCAAACUGCCACCUGAUCUAGGCGCUCGGUUGAAAGGCUGAUGCUGUUUGGUAUCGCUAUGGCGGAAAAUGGGUCGACCGCAGAUUUCUGGAGGCGAGUUAUGCAAACCAGACAAUGGGAUUAAGUGAUCGGACGAGCAUCAGCUGAUGAUACUUUCACACAACCGACUCUGUGUGUCCUGUCUGCUGCUGAGUGAGAGGGGGGGGGGGGGGGGGGAGACCCGGAGCAGCUGCUUGUUGUUUUCAUCUGUGUGACCUGAAUGCAUCACAAUUUCAGUCUUGUGACGAGGCAUGCGAAGGAACACGGUUUACAGAAGAAGAAGAAGA